rnacentral:lncRNA from 1 species
CUGCGGCUGCGCGGCCUCCAGACCUCGGAUGGCAGCAAAAUUCAGAAGGCUUAGACUACCACUGUCCUCCACAAGGUGCUCCAGCAGAUUGUCACCUUAUUCAACACAAGAGGUUGGUUGGAAUGAAACUGGCCUGGAGAAAUUAUUCACUGAAUUUUUAUCAGCAUUGGGAAGUCCUGGAGCCCUGCUUGUUGAAUGAGUUAGGGGUGGAAGGGCUCUCUCAGGCCAUGACAACUCCCUAAUGCUGUGAAGAGCUACUUCCAAGGAAUCAGUCUCUAUCUGGAAAAGAAAGAAGAGAGCCUCUGUACAUGGGAAGUUGGAGCAAGAAAUCAUGAGAUCCUUCUUUUUUUCAUCAAACUUGCAAGUAAGAUUAAUAGCUUAGGAACAGACUUGUGUCUUCAUGAAAUGAUUACUAUAGACACUCUUCAUUAUAUUCCCAUAUGUUUAGUUAUUUUAAAAGACUAUCUUUUCUGCCUGCAUAAUGAAAUGAUUGAAUCAAAUUUGUCACAAUACUUGUUGGUAAUGUCAAGCAACUGUAUGAUAAAGCAUCCAGUUCUUAGGGGCAUUAGCUCACCAUGGAUGAUAUUAUUAAUUUACCCAUGUACUUAAUUAUUGAUUCUACUACAUUUAUUGUAUUCAGUAUUUUUGCUUGUAUGAAAUGUUCACUUUUAACACUGUGCUAAUUACAUUAAAAAGUGUUCACUUUAUG